GGUAACAUUUCUAGCUUGCUAGAAGAUGACGAGUGGCGGACGGGUGAGUAAUGCUUGGGAACUUGCCUUUGCGAGGGGGAUAACAGUUGGAAACGACUGCUAAUACCGCAUAAUGUCUUCGGACCAAACGGGGCUUCGGCUCCGGCGCAAAGAGAGGCCCAAGUGAGAUUAGCUAGUUGGUAAGGUAACGGCUUACCAAGGCGACGAUCUCUAGCUGUUCUGAGAGGAAGAUCAGCCACACUGGGACUGAGACACGGCCCAGACUCCUACGGGAGGCAGCAGUGGGGAAUAUUGCACAAUGGGGGAAACCCUGAUGCAGCCAUGCCGCGUGUGUGAAGAAGGCCUUCGGGUUGUAAAGCACUUUCAGUUGUGAGGAAAAGUUAGUAGUUAAUACCUGCUAGCCGUGACGUUAACAACAGAAGAAGCACCGGCUAACUCCGUGCCAGCAGCCGCGGUAAUACGGAGGGUGCGAGCGUUAAUCGGAAUUACUGGGCGUAAAGCGCACGCAGGCGGUUUGUUAAGCUAGAUGUGAAAGCCCCGGGCUCAACCUGGGAUGGUCAUUUACAACUGGCAGACUAUAGUCUUGGAGAGGGGAGUGGAAUUCCAGGUGUAGCGGUGAAAUGCGUAGAUAUCUGGAGGA
rnacentral:rRNA from 1 species